rnacentral:rRNA from 1 species
UAAAGCGUGCGCAGGCGGUUUUGUAAGACUGUCGUGAAAUCCCCGGGCUUAACCUGGGAAUGGCGAUGGUGACUGCAAGGCUAGAGUUUGGCAGAGGGGGGUAGAAUUCCACGUGUAGCAGUGAAAUGCGUAGAGAUGUGGAGGAACACCGAUGGCGAAGGCAGCCCCCUGGGUCAAAACUGACGCUCAUGCACGAAAGCGUGGGGAGCAAACAGGAUUAGAUACCUAGU